rnacentral:rRNA from 1 species
GACGGAGGAGGCUAGCGUUGUUCGGAAUCACUGGGCGUAAAGCGCACGUAGGCGGUGUUGUAAGUUAGGGGUGAAAGCCCGGGGCUCAACCUCGGAAAUGCCUUUAAGACUGCAACGCUAGAGUUCGGAAGAGGGUAGUGGAAUUCCCAGUGUAGAGGUGAAAUUCGUAGAUAUUGGGAAGAACACCGGUGGCGAAGGCGGCUACCUGGUCCGAUACUGACGCUGAGGUGCGAAAGCGUGGGGAGCAAACAGG